GCGGGUUGCGGACGUGCCUCCGUCAUGGAUUACGUCCGCAACCAGAGGUUCCACUGUAAUUUGGUUCCAGGCACAGGACUGAACAUCCAAAAAGAUCCACUUUCAUUUUAUAAAGAUCUGUUUCAAGCCCAUAGGGUUGGAGGGAGAGUGUAUGGGCAAUGGAAUCUCAGAAUCUUGCAUGGGAAGUUGAACAAGUUAUGCAGUGUUCAGAAGUGGGGCUUCAGUAACCUGCAUAACUCAGUGUUCCUUCUUAUAAGCAGAGAAUAAAUUAUGCAAAAUAUGGAAAUAUAUGCAGAUUUGCAAUUUAUACAGGAGUCAGAAUACAGAUGAAGUGGACUUAAAAAUUUAUUUUCUUAGUGCAGAAUAAUAUAGCUUUGCCCACCACUGUCUUCAGCAAUUCUGACAGUAAGGAAUGCAAGGUUACCCAAUCAUGCUAUUAGAAUAAGUUUAUGGAUUGUAAUAUGUGCACAUGUGUAUAAGGAAUAACUAAAUGAGAACGGCAUCUUCUCUGUUUCCAUUUGCCAUUAAAACCAUUUAGUUCAUGGCGCUUUUGAAUCAACUGAAAAGAAGAGGUAAAUGAUAACGUCAAGUAAGCAAUCCAGAUUGCCUUCGAAAUUUUCAGACAAGAAUAAAUCAAUGCACAAGUGAAAGCCACAACAGGAAACCAUAAUAACCAACUGAAGUUUCAUUUUCCUGUCUACUGCAGUGGGUUAAUAUUGCAGUGCAGAGCUUUUUGCCCCAUUACUCAUUUGUGAGAAAGCAAGAGGUUUCAGACAAAAACUUCCUGUGGAUUAUUACUUAUGAGUCCCCCCAACUUUUUAUUGAAUUUUUGUUGCAUGCAAAACCUCUAUGUUUUUUAACUAUCAUAUUUACUUUCUUAUGUUCUUAAUUUUUAAUGUUCUUAAUUCAAUAGCAUGCAUCAAGUUAUUGGUUUGCUUUUGUUUUAUUAUGUAUUUUGUGUUCUCGUUCUAUAUUUUUAUGUUGUGAACCACCCUGUGAUCUUCAGAUAACAAAUUAAAACUCAGGUAUACAAAUUUAAACAAA